UGGAAGAGACCCCCAGAUAAUGGUGAGUUGUGGACGUGGGGUGUGCAGCAGACUCAGGUGUGAUUUUUCUUCAGGUUCGCAGGGGCUCAGACCCAACUCUCUGCAUUAAUAUGUUCCUGGUUCUAAACACGCAUUUUCCAGGCUUAGAGACUAGGCAAGUUCCUAGUUCCACUGAGCAUUUAUGUCUAACAAAACAGGCACCUAGUGGUCCCUGGUGGGCAGGAGGUAAUGAUUAAUGUGAAUACAGAGUUCAUUGUACACUCAGUUGGCCAAAUAGUCGAUGCCAUGCUGCAGACUUAGAGUAGUAGUUGAUGGCUGCAGACUUAGAGUAGUAAUUAGUCGAUGGCUGCAGACUUGGAGUAGUAAAUAGUCGAUGGCUGCAGACUUGGAGUAGUAAAUAGUUGAUGGCUGCAGACUAGGAGUAGUAAAUA
rnacentral:lncRNA from 1 species